rnacentral:rRNA from 1 species
UAGGGAAUAUUGGACAAUGGGGGCAACCCUGAUCCAGCCAUGCCGCGUGUGUGAAGAAGGCUUUCGGGUUGUAAAGCACUUUCAGUAGUGAAGAAGGCUGUACGGUUAAUACCCGUGCAGAUUGACAUUAGCUACAGAAGCAGCACCGGCUAACUCCGUGCCAGCAGCCGCGGUAAUACGGAGGGUGCAAGCGUUAAUCGGAAUUACUGGGCGUAAAGCGCGCGUAGGCGGUUUGGUAAGUCGGAUGUGAAAUCCCCGGGCUCAACCUGGGAACUGCAUCCGAUACUGCCAGGCUAGAGUACGGUAGAGGGGGGUAGAAUUCCACGUGUAGCGGUGAAAUGCGUAGAGAUGUGGAGGAAUACCAGUGGCGAAGGCGGCCCCCUGGAUCGAUACUGACGCUGAGGUGCGAAAGCGUGGGGAGCAAACAGG